AACGAACGCUGGCGGCAUGCCUAACACAUGCAAGUCGAACGAGACCUUCGGGUCUAGUGGCGCACGGGUGCGUAACGCGUGGGAACCUGCCCUUAGGUUCGGAAUAACUCCCCGAAAGGGGUGCUAAUACCGGAUAAUGUCUUCGGACCAAAGAUUUAUCGCCUUUGGAUGGGCCCGCGUUGGAUUAGCUAGUUGGUAGGGUAAAAGCCUACCAAGGCGACGAUCCAUAGCUGGUCUGAGAGGAUGAUCAGCCACACUGGGACUGAGACAGGCCCAGACUCCUACGGGAGGCAGCAGUGGGGAAUAUUGGACAAUGGGGGAAAGCCUGAUCCAGCAAUGCCGCGUGAGUGAUGAAGGCCUUAGGGUUGUAAAGCUCUUUUACCCGGGAUGAUAAUGACAGUACCGGGAGAAUAAGCUCCGGCUAACUCCGUG
rnacentral:rRNA from 1 species